AUUGAACGCUGGCGGCAUGCCUUACACAUGCAAGUCGAACGGUAACAGGUCUUCGGAUGCCGACGAGUGGCGAACGGGUGAGUAAUACAUCGGAACGUGCCUAGUAGUGGGGGAUAACUACUCGAAAGAGUGGCUAAUACCGCAUGAGAUCUACGGAUGAACGCAGGGAAUCGCAAGACCUUGUGCUACUAGAGCGGCCGAUGGCAGAUUAGGUAGUUGGUGGGAUAAAAGCAUACCAAGCCGACGAUCUGUAGCUGGUCUGAGAGGACGUUCAGCCACACUGGGACUGAGACACGGCCCAGACUCCUACGGGAGGCAGCAGUGGGGAAUUUUGGACAAUGGGCGAAAGCCUGAUCCAGCAAUGCCGCGUGCAGGAUGAAGGCCUUCGGGUUGUAAACUGCUUUUGUACGGAACGAAAAGCCCCGGGUUAAUACCCUGGGGUCAUGACGGUACCGUAAGAAUAAGCACCGGCUAACUACGUGCCAGCCGCCGCAGUAA
rnacentral:rRNA from 1 species